rnacentral:lncRNA from 1 species
UGAAAUCUGAUAACCAAUGGUGGCAGGAGUGUUGUUGCCCAUGUUUGGGUCAAUUAAGCUCUUUGCAUCAGCUGCAGAGCUCAAUGGCACACUUGUUGACAGCAUUGGCGCUGAAAAUGGUGAACUUUGGGCAAGGUUGUUGUUAUUAGGAACAACAGGAAACAAGGGCUGAGACACGGGAACAGGUGUGUUAGAUGCUGGGAGGCCUGGAGGACCGACAAGCGUUGGUGGUGCAAUAGCUGGCAUUGGAGGCCUCACAUUUUGCACAGGAAAUAAUGGUUGUUGCGGCAGACCCAUUGGUGCAGGAGGUGGAACCGAGACAGCAGGAUAUUGCGGAUACCAAGGUUGGGGCCGAGGGGGGACUGGCCAACCAGCGGGAGGCAUUGGCACAGCAGGAUUAUAGCUGCACAAACAGGCCAGAUCCAUGUAAGAUUUUUUUUAAAAAAAAAAUCUGAUCCAUGUAAGAAUUUAUAUACCUAUUGGAGGUGCUGAUUCAAAGUUAAUAAAUUCAAAGCAUGCCAAUAAACAACAGAAUGUAGAAGAAAAGGUUAACAAAAAGAUAAAAAUGCCAAGGAUAAAAUUUCCCCUAUUAUCUUUUUUAUUUUGUGACGAUGGUCUCCUCGACUAGUCCACCGAGUAGCCAGUUAGAGCCCACAAGCAUAAGUGCUGCCGUGCCAGUUCAUAUCAGUGUUGUAGUUGGGAUUCAAACAUGGAAUUUCAAGAUUGUUACUGCUAUCCCUCAACUACUCAGCCCUCCCUUGGAGACAUAAUUCUAUUUUAUCUAUAUGCCAGAAGGCUAACUAUAACAAGGAAGAAAUGGGUCAACUUCAAUACUGAAACCCAAGCUGCUGGACACCUGAAAAACUAGCGCUAGAAUUCUUUACAGACCAAUUGUUGACAAAAUUUAUUUAGGUAUGCCACACCAUCAGUCAUAACUAUAACAAAGUCAGAUCUGGGAUAUACUAUAUUAAAGAGCUAGAUUCCUAAUCUCAUAUAUUCAUUAUUCUGCUCGUUUGACCAAGUAAUACAGAUCCUAACAUAGGAAUCUUUCAGAAGAAAUCAAGAAACAUUAGGUAAUGGUCAGAUGUAAAAGCAGUUUGUAGUCCUCAAAAAGACCAGAAUCAACUAUAAAAGAACUAAACUUUAGUACAAGAGACUUCUGCUAAAAUUGAUAGCUGUGUUACUAGUCAAAAUUGUAAAAGUUUUUCUUUUUCAAGAAGUACGAAUUUUUCUUUGCAUUUAUUCUCUCUUACACACAAACUUAUUCAAGGAAUAUACUCCUUGAUACUGAUAAACCGACACGAAUGACAGAUUCCAUCUUAAACAAAACUUAUUCAAGGAGAACAUAUGCUUUGAUAGAAAAGAUAAAAAUGAAUUGACUCCGGACUUCAAGAACAAAAUGAAGAGAUCGUGUCUCGCAACUUAUGGGGGUAUAUUUUCUCUCAAAUCCCAAAUAUCGGAAGUUUUUUCUUUGUGAUAAGUAAAAUGAAAAAGUAAGUAUCCUAAUUUAUUCAAGCACAAGGAAAUCUGAACGCAUAAAAAAAGCAUUUCCACGACUAACAUACAGUGGUGGCAUUGCACCAAAAGGUGCCCGGGGAGGGUAUCCUGGAAUUGCACCACCAACAUACUGGGAUGAUGGAAUGUCCACUUUGGCAGUUUUUGCUGGGGCC